AUUGAACGCUGGCGGCAGGCCUAACACAUGCAAGUCGAACGGUAGCACAGAGAGCUUGCUCUCGGGUGACGAGUAGCGGACGGGUGAGUAAUGUCUGGGAAACUGCCCGAUGGAGGGGGAUAACUACUGGAAACGGUAGGUAAUACCGCAUAACGUCGCAAGACCAAAGUGGGGGACCUUCGGGCCUCACACCAUCGGAUGUGCCCAGAUGGGAUUAGCUAGUAGGUGGGGUAAUAGCUCACCUAGGCGACGAUCCCUAGCUGGUCUGAGAGGAUGACCAGCCACACUGGAACUGAGACACGGUCCAGACGCCUACGGGAGGCAGCAGUGGGGAAUAUUGCACAAUGGGCGCAAGCCUGAUGCAGCCAUGCCGCGUGUAUGAAGAAGGCCUUCGGGUUGUAAAGUACUUUCAGCGGGGAGGAAGGCGGUGAAGUUAAUAACUUCACCGAUUGACGUUACCCGCAGAAGAAGCACCGGCUAACUCCGUGCCAGCCGCCGCAGUAA
rnacentral:rRNA from 1 species